UGUUUGACGUCUGUGUCUUAAGUCUUAACUCUUAACCGCAUUUUUAGUCUAGUGAUGGAAAUAAUCAAAACAUUCCAUUAUUAUUUUUCGACUAUCAAAAUAAUCGAAAGAUUUUGAUGAUCGAAAUAAUGAUAUUAGACGUACCUAUAUUAUGUACCUAUCAAGAGCAAAUUAAUCGAAUUAUUCCAAAAAAUUGUGUGUUAUACAUUUAUCAAAAAGUACAAAACUACAUAAUAAUUGUCAAAAAUCAUUUCAUUUUCAUAAAUAUUUAUUAAUCAGUAUAAUUAAUUCAAUUUUAAAUUAAAGAUAUAAAUAAUAAAAUAAUAUUAAGUACAAAAUCCUUGUUAAUUUAUGAAAUAAAAUACGAGCACUCUCUUAUACAGUUUUAAAUGACUAACAAUGAAUUUAAAGUUAAUUCAUUAAUAUUGAAUUACCAUUUAAAAAAAUAAUAUAGUAUAAAUUAUUAGGAUUUUGUCGAUUUCGGCCGUCAAUGGUCAACUGACCCGUUUUCGAAAAUACGCGUUCAGAAGGAACAGAAUUCGCAGGAACACUCAAAUAUUUGAGUGCAAGUUUGUUAAGUUCUGGAAAUGUAUUUUUAUGUUGAUUCCAAAAUUGCAGAGGACAUUUGGUUCAUCUUAAGUAGGGCAUUUUUAAGUAUUGACAAAGCAUCAGUGAAGCUGAAAUGUCUGCUAAUAAAUUAGUUUUGAUUAAUUUUGAAACUACUAUCAAACUGUUCCCAUAAUAAUGUAGGUUUAAUGUUUAUCAAGGUAAAGUAGAUUCAAUGAUAUCACGAGUAUUUUUUAUUAUACAUUUAAGUUUGUUAAUUAUCCGAUUUUAAUAUUAUUAUAAAUUAUAAAGAUAUAAUAUAGAUAUUAAAAAUAUUAAUAUAAGAUUAUUAAAAUCAUUCAAUUAUUCCCAUCACUAAUUAUUACCUACAUUGUCAAUAUGAUUUAUAUGGUGAACGGACACCUAGAUCCCUCGAUAGCUAUAGACAUGAUGGUGACUAACUGACGCAAGAGGAUUUAAUUAACAAACAUUGAUAAUUUAAGAUUCUUAGGUUUACUAAAGAUCCAGAAAAAAGAAAAUGUUGGAUAAAUUCAUUACAUUUAAAAAUUAAUGUUAAAGACUGACGCCUCUAUGCAGUUUACAUUUUACAUCAGAAAACUAUGCAUUUAGCAAUGAAAGAAAAAUAUUAAAACAAGAUGCAAUACCACUAUUUUUGACUGAAGUUGACAGAGGCAAUACUGUGACACUUAUUUCCCAGCCAGAUGCCCAGAUUAACCUAUUGACACUUUAUCAGUUGCAUUAAACAACUUGGUUGAAAUGGAUCACAGUGGCCCAUCAAUCCUUGUGGAUUCUAUACCAGCUUCCUUAAACAACUCGACAGAAACAGUAAUAGCUUUUGAGGUUUUAAUGUUUCUAAUAUAUCACCAGUACCAGACCCGUAGCCAGACCAAAUUUUCAGGUCUUUUAAAACUGCUGGCACUUCAAGUACAUUACCAUAGGUAAUGCUCUAGUAAGAUUGAUGAUGAUUUCUCAACACCGAUAUUCAUUAAUUUUUUCAAAAUGCAUGUUUUUAUAUUAAGACAUUCGGGUGAAAUGUCAUCUUUUGUACAGUAUGUUUCUAUAUUUAUCAUGGUUUUAUUUGUUUUAUUGUAUUAUUGUGUUAUGUUUAAUAUAACUUGUGUUUUGUUUGUUUUAUUGUAUUAUUUUGUUAUGUUUAUUACGACUUGGUGUUUUGUUUGUAUUAUUGUAAUAUUAUGUUACCUAUGUUUAAAAUAAAUUGUGUUUGUUUUUAA